AUUGAACGCUGGCGGCAGGCCUAACACAUGCAAGUCGAACGAGCGGCGGACGGGUGAGUAAUGCCUGGGAAUUGUCCAGUAGAGGGGUAUAACAGUUGGACACGACUUCUAAUACCGCAUACGAUGGUAUUGCCAAGGGGGGAUUAGCUAGUUGGUGAGGUAGUGGCUCACCAAGGAGACGAUCCCUAGCUGGUCUGAGAGGAUGAUCAGCCACACUGGAACUGAGACACGGUCCAGACGCCUACGUGAGGCAGCAGUGGGGAAUAUUGCACAAUGGGGGAAACCCUGAUGCAGCCAUGCCGCGUGUAUGAAGAAGGCCUUCGGGUUGUAAAGCACUUUCAGCGAGGAGGCGUUACUCGCAGAAGAAGCACCGGCUAACUCCGUGCCAGCAGCCGCGGUAAUUC
rnacentral:rRNA from 1 species